rnacentral:rRNA from 1 species
AAAUUGAAGAGUUUGAUCAUGGCUCAGAUUGAACGCUGGCGGCAGGCCUAACACAUGCAAGUCGAGCGGAAACGACAACAUUGAAUCUUCGGAGGAUUUGUUGGGCGUCGAGCGGCGGACGGGUGAGUAAUGCCUAGGAAAUUGCCUUGAUGUGGGGGAUAACCAUUGGAAACGAUGGCUAAUACCGCAUAAUGCCUACGGGCCAAAGAG